UGGGGAAUAUUGGACAAUGGGCGCAAGCCUGAUCCAGCAAUACCGCGUGAGUGAUGAAGGUCUUCGGAUUGUAAAGCUCUUUUAGUGGAGAAGAUAAUGACGGUAUCCACAGAAAAAGCACCGGCAAACUUCGUGCCAGCAGCCGCGGUAAUACGAAGGGUGCUAGCGUUGUUCGGAAUCAUUGGGCGUAAAGCGUACGUAGGCGGUUCAGUAAGUCGAUUGUGAAAGCCCCGAGCUCAACUCGGGAAUUGCAAGCGAUACUGCUUUACUAGAGUUUGGUGGGGGAUGGUGGAAUUCCUAGUGUAGGGGUGAAAUCCGUAGAUAUUAGGAGGAAUAUCGGUGGCGAAAGCGACCAUCUACGCCAAUACUGACGCUAAGGUACGAAAGCGUGGGGAGCAAA
rnacentral:rRNA from 1 species